rnacentral:lncRNA from 1 species
UGCUUAUGACUAAGAAUUCUGGGACCACAGAUGUUCAGAGAAGUAACAUAUACAUAUAAGUCAAACGAAGGCCAUGACGACAGACUGAACCCAGGAGAAGUUCUCCUGCAACUCUUUAUUUAGAACUCUCUAGGUUCUUUGAACACCUGUUAACAUCCUGUGACUUCAUCAAAGAGCCCUAAAGCAGGGUGAAAACUUGAACUGGAAGUUCUGGUCUCCACAAGCUACAGUCCUUAGUCAAGCAUCUGGUUUCCCUUGACUCAGAUUUCUCAGCCCUAAAAUGACGGAACGAACAGGAUAGCCAACCUCCUGGUCCACCUCAGUUCUAAAUUUAGUAAUGCACUUUGCAACUUUUCUCUUUUAAUAAAGUUCCUUCCUAGCAUUCCAUCAUCCUAA